rnacentral:misc_RNA from 1 species
GUCAAAAGAAAAAGAAACUAAUCCUCUCAAAGAUAAUUUCAUCAUCCUUGGUAGCACUAGCGAGGUAGGUAACAUUUUACUGCUAGUUAAAACUUUACUGCUUUAUUAUUGAUUCAUGUUCUUGGCAAGAUUGUGUUAUUCUCCUACAAAUAGAGUUUGAUAGUUUGAGUCAGAAAGUUCAGCUGCAUUUUCUUCUGUGCCAUUUCCAUUUUGAUUUGGUUGAAACUUGAAAGACAAAAUUCAGCAGUGAUGAAAACCAUUUCUGACAGCUUAUCUCAUCAAGAAUCCAUGUUUGAUUUCAGGGAACCUUCUCCUCCUUUCAUUUCCUUGCAGCAGAAGACGAUUGCAACCAUCAGAGAUUCUUCCUUCUCUUAUCUCAAUAAUCAAGUUGAUGAUUCCGAAAUAAGCAUUUUUGAUGCCCAAAAAUACUUCAACGAAAGUGGCAGCAGUGAUCCCCGAGUCAGCAACAGCGUUUCUCCUGUUAAUGUUAUUAAACUUGAACGCAUUUCCGAGCAAUGUGAUUUCUCUGCCAUUCCAAGAUUCUCCUCUGCUUCGUCUUCUGUUGAUGGACAUGAUCGUAACUACAGGACUCGUUCAUUCCACGCAACGCCAACAGCUUCGUCGGAGGCAAGCUGGAAUAGCCAAACCGGUUUGCUAUCGAAUCCACCAUGUGCUAUUGCAGUCACCGUGCGAAAUCCUACUGCUGAUGAAAAGAAACGGGGUUCUGCAACAAAAUGGCUUCUCGGGCGAAAAUGUCCUUGUUCUGGCAAGAAAUCUGUUCAAGUUGAGGAGAAACUAUCAGAACCCAGAACUCCAUCGCGCCUAAAUCACAAGUCCAAAGAGUCUCGGAAUAUCCAUAGGCGGAUUCUUGACUCUGCAGCAACAGAUCAUUGGCUCAAAAGACGAGAAGUGAUCCCUAGUUGUCACAGAAUCUCAGCAGACAACAACCAUUUUCCUUCAGUUCUAGGACACCAUAGUGUGUUAUCCUCCUCAACGAGAACAUUCACUGAUUGCACGAGUGGGUUCUCUUUUCCUAUACUCAACCAAACAUCUCCUAUGAAACUGGUAUUAAAUGGAUUGUCAUCUCCCAAUAACUACACUAGUCCUCCUCCUCCCCUUGAGGAUCAACCUCGGGAUUCGCUGGAAGUUUUCCGACCACCGGAAAAUCCAGUUUCAACCAAGACAAAAAUGGAAUUUCACCGACGCCAGAAUUUCACAUUUCCUUCGAGUCCCAAGUCGCGAAUGACGACAACAGACGAUGACAUGGCAAGCGAUGCGAGUUCAGACUUGUUCGAGAUAGAAAGCCUGUCUACUCAAACAACAUCAUACCCAAAUCACCGGAGAGACUCAUUGGAAGAGGCAAGACGUUUGGGCUGUCGUAUAAAUGAAGGUGGUUUGUAUUGCAGGGGAAGUCUGGAUGAGCCGACGACGCCAUCUGUGGCACCAACAGAAUGUUAUGAACCAAGUGAAGCAAGCAUCGAUUGGAGUGUGACAACAGCUGAAGGGUUCGACCGAGCAAGUGUCACAAAUUUCUCAAUAACCGCAUCAGAAGUUGAGGACAUGCAUCGCCAUGAGUCUGACAAGGGUAGCGGUGGGAAGAUGAGAGGAGGGUUGUUGAGCUGUCGAUGUGAGAAGGCGGUGAGUGUGGGGCCACAGCCGGUGAAAUCAGCGGCUUCGGAGGGACAAAGAGGAGGAAGCUCCACAUUGAGGCAUGUGAGUAGUAGGCCACCCGUUCCGAAUAAGCCACCUCUUGCAAGGUCUCACUCUGCUCGCUUGUCUCCGCCUUUUGCAACAUAAAGCGAGCAGUCUGUGGACUUGUGGUGGUUUUUGCUUUGCCGCCAUAUUGGAGUUUCCAAAUAUUGAUACUUUUACUUUGGGAAUUUAUUUAUUUAUUUAUUUUUAAAUACUUCUUUCACCACUUGAAUUCAUGGUGUCAUGCUGUUAUGCUGCCCAAUUUUUUUUGUUUAUCAACACUCUGCCUCUUCUCCUUGAGAAUG